AUGAACGCUAGCUACAGGCUUAACACAUGCAAGUCGAGGGGCAGCAUGGUCUUAGCUUGCUAAGGCCGAUGGCGACCGGCGCACGGGUGAGUAACACGUAUCCAACCUGCCGUCUACUCUUGGACAGCCUUCUGAAAGGAAGAUUAAUACAAGAUGGCAUCAUGAGUCCGCAUGUUCACAUGAUUAAAGGUAUUCCGGUAGACGAUGGGGAUGCGUUCCAUUAGAUAGUAGGCGGGGUAACGGCCCACCUAGUCUUCGAUGGAUAGGGGUUCUGAGAGGAAGGUCCCCCACAUUGGAACUGAGACACGGUCCAAACUCCUACGGGAGGCAGCAGUGAGGAAUAUUGGUCAAUGGGCGAGAGCCUGAACCAGCCAAGUAGCGUGAAGGAUGACUGCCCUAUGGGUUGUAAACUUCUUUUAUAAAGGAAUAAAGUCGGGUAUGGAUACCCGUUUGCAUGUACUUUAUGAAUAAGGAUCGGCUAACUCCGUGCCAGCAGCCGCGGUAAUACGGAGGAUCCGAGCGUUAUCCGGAUUUAUUGGGUUUAAAGGGAGCGUAGAUGGAUGUUUAAGUCAGUUGUGAAAGUUUGCGGCUCAACCGUAAAAUUGCAGUUGAUACUGGAUAUCUUGAGUGCAGUUGAGGCAGGCGGAAUUCGUGGUGUAGCGGUGAAAUGCUUAGAUAUCACGAAGAACUCCGAUUGCGAAGGCAGCCUGCUAAGCUGCAACUGACAUUGAGGCUCGAAAGUGUGGGUAUCAAACAGGAUUAGAUACCCUGGUAGUCCACACGGUAAACGAUGAAUACUCGCUGUUUGCGAUAUACUGCAAGCGGCCAAGCGAAAGCGUUAAGUAUUCCACCUGGGGAGUACGCCGGCAACGGUGAAACUCAAAGGAAUUGACGGGGGCCCGCACAAGCGGAGGAACAUGUGGUUUAAUUCGAUGAUACGCGAGGAACCUUACCCGGGCUUAAAUUGCAGAUGAAUUACGGUGAAAGCCGUAAGCCGCAAGGCAUCUGUGAAGGUGCUGCAUGGUUGUCGUCAGCUCGUGCCGUGAGGUGUCGGCUUAAGUGCCAUAACGAGCGCAACCCUUGUUGUCAGUUACUAACAGGUUCCGCUGAGGACUCUGACAAGACUGCCAUCGUAAGAUGUGAGGAAGGUGGGGAUGACGUCAAAUCAGCACGGCCCUUACGUCCGGGGCUACACACGUGUUACAAUGGGGGGUACAGAGGGCCGCUACCACGCGAGUGGAUGCCAAUCCCCAAAACCUCUCUCAGUUCGGACUGGAGUCUGCAACCCGACUCCACGAAGCUGGAUUCGCUAGUAAUCGCGCAUCAGCCACGGCGCGGUGAAUACGUUCCCGGGCCUUGUACACACCGCCCGUCAAGCCAUGGGAGCCGGGGGUACCUGAAGUGCGUAACCGCGAGGAGCGCCCUAGGGUAAAACUGGU
rnacentral:rRNA from 1 species